GGGGGCGUAAUUGGUUUCGACAGUAUUUUAGAAGUAAUUAUGGCAAGUAGUGGAUGGCUGCUUCGGCCACUUAAAAAAAGCAGAAUUAAAAAUAAACGCUGAUAAUAAUAAAGAAUUAGCAUUUGCUGCUUAAUAAAAGCGGCACGUUUUACUAAAAAUGCCUACGUUUUUAGAUAAAGCGAUGACUUAGUAGGAAACAAAGCUAUUUUUUGCUACGAAAAUAGUGGGUAUUUAAGUAGCUACUGUUAUAUUUUGUUUGUUUAUUCAUGAAGUAUAAUGGGAAAUUUAAGAAUAAACUAAACUUGUAGAAGUAAUUAUGGAAAAAAUAUUGGACAGCAGUUCAACUCUGCUCGCCUCCACCA
rnacentral:tmRNA from 1 species